rnacentral:lncRNA from 1 species
CAGGUAAUCUACAACGUGCAUGAGCGUUUCUGCCUCCAGAAGCAUCUGCUUUCAAGCAGCACACAGUGUGUACCAGCGGAGAGCAUCUAGAGGAGCGGGGCUUUAGUUCUUAGAAAAGGCUUCUCAGGACCUCACUACUCACGUGGGCUCCAGAGACCAACAGCACCUCCCUGGGGAGCUAGUAGAAAUGCAGAUCCUCGGGCCCACCCCUGACCUGCUGGGUUGGACCCUGGACUUAACAAGAUUCCCAGGUGUGCACAGGAAAGCCUGAGGGGCCCUGCUCUAGGGUGAACCUUGCUAACGCGCAGCCUCUGCUGAUUUGAAGAGGAGUGGGACCAGCUGGCUUCCUGCCAGGCUGCUUGUUCAAGGAUAUUAUUCUCAAGCACCAGCGGGUCAGACUUUCAGGGAAAAGAAAUUAAUGGCAGGAAGAGUUUGGAAAUUCCGGCUUCUGCUAAUUUCAUAAAAGCAAAUCAUAGGACAGAAAGGCUCACGAUUGCUGGGAGCUCACUUUUUUCUUCAUCGUUAUUACUCAGUCUUCAAGGGUUACUGAUAUCUUUCUUCUUUUCUCUUUAAUUUUCCUGACCAGUGACAUGUCUCUCUGCUGGUUAUUGGACUCCAACCCACUCCCUUCCCAUCUUGGUUGCUCUCCAGUCAUCUUCCACCUCCGCCCCUGAUCACGGGCGUGCACAGCAGCCCAGGCUGCCUAGGGCCCACUCCCUUCGGUUUUCACCUUUUCCGUUAAUCUGCCGCUGCGUCUGCAUCGUCUCCUGUCACCCUCGCCCUACAGCUUGGCUGUGGAUAUGGAUGUCUUUUGCUUGACUCUCCGGAUCCCCUCUCCUCCCUUUGUCAUCCAGCUCUGGGAUGUAGGAGGCUGACACAGUGGGGACUUCGUCAAUGGCUCCCUUCCCUCCUGGCAGGGAGGCAAGUGUGGUCAGGAUAUUGACGGCCUGGGCUCACCCUCUGCUGGGUCCCUCUCCAUGCCACUCCUCUGUCCCAGGUCUGGUUAUAGCUCUCUGCUCUGGUCCUGUAGGCUGACUGCCACUGCUACCAGUCUGGGUCUGUGCCAUCUCCGUG